rnacentral:rRNA from 1 species
GGUUUGAUUAUGGCUCAGAUUGAACGCUGGCGGGAUGCUUUACACAUGCAAGUCGAACGGCGGCACGGACUUCGGUCUGGUGGCGAGUGAGCGAACGGGUGAGUAAUGUAUCGGAACGUGCCUAGUAGCGGGGGGAUAACUACGCGAAAGCGUAGCUAAUGCCACAUACGCCCUUCGAGGGGAAAGCGGGGACCUUCAGCCUCGCACUAUUAGAGCGGCCGAUAUCCGGAUUAGCUAGUUGGUGGGGUAACGGCUCGCAAGGCGACGAUCAAUAGCUGGUUUGAGAGGACGACCAGCCACACUGGGACUGAGACACGAGCUGAACUCCUACGGGAGAGCAGCAGUGGGGAAUUUUGGACAAUGGAAACCCUGAUCCAGCCAUCCCGCGUGUGCGAUGAAGGCCUUCGGGUUGUAAAGCACUUUUUGGCAGGAAAGAAACGGCACGGGAUAAUACCCCAAUGCAACUGACGAACACCUGCAGAAUAAGCACCGGCUAACUACGUGCCAGCAGCCGCGGUAAUACGUAGGGUGCAAGCGUUAAUCGGAAUUACUGGGCGUAAAGCGUGCGCGAGCGGUUCGGAAAGAAAGAUGUGAAAUCCCAGAGCUUAACUUUGGAACUGCAUUUUUAACUACCGAGCUAGAGUGUGUCAGAGGGAGGGUGGAAUUCCCGCGUGUAGCAGUGAAAUGCGUAGAUAUGCGGAGGAACACCGAUGGCGAAGGCAGCCUCCUGGGAUAACACUGACGCUCAUGCACGAAAGCGUGGGGAGCAAACAGGAUUAGAUACCCUGGUAGUCCACGCCCUAAACGAUGUCAACUAGCUGUUGGGGCCUUCGGGCCUUGGUAGCGCAGCAGCAUUGAUUGGCCGCCUGGGUACGGUCGCAAGAUUAAAGCUCAAAGGAAUUGACGGGGACCCGCACAAGCGGUGGAUGAUGUGGAUUAAUUCGAUGCAACGCGAAAAACCUUACCUACCCUUGACAUGUCUGGAAUCCCGAAGAGAUUUGGGAGUGCUCGCGAGAGAGCCGGAACACAGGUGCUGCAUGGCUGUCGUCAGCUCGUGUCGUGAGAUGUUGGGUUAAGUCCCGCAACGAGCGCAACCCUUGUCAUUAGUUAUACGAAGGGCACUCUAAUGAGACUGCCGAUGACAAACCGGAGGAAGGUGGGGAUGACGUCAAGUCCUCAUGGCCCUUAUGGGUAGGGCUUCACACGUCAUACAAUGGUCGGGACAGAGGGUCGCAACCCGCGAGGGGAGCCAAUCCCGAAACCCGAUCAUCAAUCCGGAUCGCAGUCUGCAACUCGACUGCGUGAAGUCGGAAUCGCUGGUAAUCGCGGAUCAGCAUGUCGCGGUGAAUACGUUCCCGGGUCUUGUACACACCGCCCAGUCACACCAUGGGAGUGGGUUUUACCAGAAAUAGUUAGCCUAACCGUAAGGAGGGCGAUUACCACGGUAAGUUCAUGACUGGGGUGAGAAGUCAGCGGCUUUAAGGUAACCUGUUACUACACACGGGUAACUCCCGAG